rnacentral:rRNA from 1 species
UACAGAGAGUGCAAGCGUUAAUCGGAAUUACUGGGCGUAAAGCGUGCGUAGGUGGAUAUUUAAGUCGAAUGUGAAAGCCCCGGGCUCAACCUGGGAACUGCAUCCGAUACUGGGUAUCUAGAGUAUGGUAGAGGGAAGUGGAAUUUCCGGUGUAGCGGUGAAAUGCGUAGAUAUCGGAAAGAACACCAGUGGCGAAAGCGGCUUCCUGGACUAAUACUGACACUAAGGCACGAAAGCGUGGGGAGCAAACAGG